ACAACCGUAGCUCAACUGGUGAGAGCGCCAAAGUACCGUGUUCGAGGUCGCGAGUUUAAGUCCCGCCAGUCGUC
rnacentral:tRNA from 1 species